GAAUUUGACAAGUGUAACAAUACCGUGACGAAUUUAUACUUUAACAAUUGUGUUUUUACAUUUUACGUCUUACAAAAAAUGCCAAUACUUUCCAUUUUAGUCGACUGAUUAAGUCGUCUUAUGACAUAACACAUACAUGCGUAAGGCAACAAAUAAUUUGUGAAAUCAAUCAAAUUAUUGUAAAAACUACUAUUCGAGUGCUUAGCGAAGUCACACUUUAGCACAACCCCACUUUUUCAUGAGGGUAUUGCGAAAGACGACUAACUCGUUGAUUACGACGAAGAGCUCGACGAGCGAACUUGCCUUUAGACACAGCUCAUUGAGUUUCUCACCGUAUUUUCUUAGUGGAUCGCCAUUCCGAUCCGGUGGUAGUUUCUGCGAAGUUUUUUUCUUUCUGUGAGCAAAUUCUCAAAUUGAAGCCGUGAGCAAAUUCUCAAAUUGAAGCCGUGAGCUUACCUACCUCUCCGCGCAUAGCUGGAAAAACCCCUUAAAGCUGCCAACGAAUAUGUAGGAAAAAAAACGACGAAUGGGCAAAAGUGCUAUCUAGCCAUUGUGUUCCAGUAUACUACAAUCGCCAACCUGCAUUUCCUGGUAGCAGGACGUAUUGUGAGACCGUAAACGUCAACUAUCACUCAUUAGUGCCGCGAAACAUUCAUUCCAGUUCAAAUGGUGGAACACCGAUUGUAAGAUUUUGACACCAUAUCUUUAAGGGGUGGCUGGCGGUCUAAAAAAAUUGUGAUGUUAACCAUUUAAUACCAAGUACUUUUUUGCUCAUCUGUACCGAACAUGAAAAAAAAAAUUGUUAAGAAAUAUGCGAAAUUUGUGAAUGAACUUGUAACACAAAGGGUGACGCAGAUGAGGUCGUUGGCGACACUCGAAAAUGAAAGGUGGACGAAAUCGAAGGGAGUGAUCCCGUUAUCCACGGCCGGACUGAGAUGGAAAGCUCCCGUUAAGGCGUUGCUAACGUCAUGCGAUGUGAUCAUACAACAGUGACUCAAACGCCAUAGAUAAUAGAAGAAACAGUAAGUGCAUAAGUAUAAACAUAUUGAAUAAAAUA